AAAUGAACACUCUGAAACAUUGUAAAACAUGGAGAGUUUAAAUUUUAAACCAUUUUAACAUUCUCGAGGUAUACACUACGCCCAGUUUAUUUGCCCCUGCUUAGCUUAGUCAUCACAACCAGAAAAAAUCGCAGCGUGCUUCAUCAGACCAUUUUCAUUAAGUUUUGAUUGCUCUCAUCGUAAUUACGAAAAAAUCUACUUUAGUUGGUUAGCUUUAGCACAUUGACCAAUGUUCCAAGGAAUAAAAAGGAAAAUGGCCAACAACACUUAGCAGAACCGGAACCUAGACGGACAGAUACCAGCUCAAAACGACACGCUUCGGAAGGACAACAGUGCAAUUUUUCGACGUGAUGAAGAUUAAGAAUUGUUCCGCUCCGGCGGCGGUGGAUUCCGUAACGGCCGUGGGACUGGCAGCGGGAUCCAAGAAGGGAUCCGGUCAUGGCCAUGACGAGGUCGACGACGGGGAAAACAAAGAUCAUAAUGCGGCGGAAUCGAGAGCCGAGGAAUUUGUGACCGUUGCCAGGUGUCGGACUCGGAGCAAAUAGACAAGCAGCGUCACGAAAACGGCCAGAACCAUGUUUCGGUGAUGGUAGAAUAUCGCCCAGGCGCAAGAUUACGGAGAAAGAUCGCCGCGAAUAUGCAUUAUUUGUUCAAAUAGAUCCGAGAAUAAAGUAAAUCAAAUUGAAUUUGUUUCUUUUUUUGUAAUA